UCAAUUAUAAUGGUCUAGUAGUGCUAAUUUGAAUUUUUGGUUUGAAACUAGUUUUUAUUUGUUUACCUAGUUGACAUGCAUCGCAUACUUUGUCCUUAAUAAACUUUAUAUUUGGAAUUCCUCGUACUAAUUCUUGAGAUGAGAUCUUAGAUAUUGUUUUCAUGCUUGCAUGGCCUAGUCUCCUAAGCCAAAGCCAAGCAUCAUUAUUUAAAGCGGAG
rnacentral:lncRNA from 1 species